rnacentral:lncRNA from 1 species
UUUUCUUCUAUAUACAUUGAAGGCUUCUGCUCAUGUUCACCCUCUAUAUUGAUACUCAAAGCAAUCAUAUCUCAAUUCUAACAACAACGAAGCUUUAUGUGCUCAAAGUCAAAUUGAAAUUUGAGUUUUCUUGGGGACUGGAACUAGAGGUAUGAUUCUUCUUUAAAACUCUGAUUAAAUGGUGUUAUGAUGCUUGUUUUGUAAUUUAUCUAGCGACAGAAGAUAAAACAAUCAUGAAAUGGUCUUCAGGAAUUUCAUCAUCACGAUUCACAAGGAAUCCAACUUUUCCAAAAUCACAUGUUAUUAUAUGGGUCGUGAAUUCGAAAUGGCUUGAAGAUAACGAGUCUUGUGUAGCCAUUUUGAAUUGUGUCGAUAUCAAUUGAGUGCAAAUUUAAUAAUAUCAUGAACAUCUGAAGACGAAAAAUCGAAAAAUAUAGCAUUAAGCUUGAUGUAAAACAAAGGUAUUAAAAAGUUCAAGAAAAGCUUUUAUUGCUAAUCACUUUCCACUUUUAAGGUUAUUCAUAUUACUCAGAAAAAUAGCAUUAAAUUAAAACUCGUUGUACUUCUACAUGAAACACCAAUUAUAGAUUAUAGAUGGUACAACAUAUAAAUAAAUACAAGUGUAUAUUUGCAGCUAAAAUGAAAAAAGCAUCAAUACACAAACCUCAAGGCCAAUGAGAAGAAGAAGAAGAAGAAGGAUCAACAAAAUCUCCUCCAUUGAAACUCAUCUAAUAAUUCAAUUCCAUCUAGGGUUUCAUUCCCAAUCCUCUUCUGCUAAUUCACUGUCAUUAUCUUCUCUUGGUGGCCUAACAACAAUAACCACAGUUCCAAGACUUUCUUGAAUACCUUUCUCCUUCAAUGUCGAUCCUCUAUCCACCUUCAAUUCAUCUUCACUCAAUACCAGAUAGAAUCCAUCAUCAGCUGCCACCUCUUUCCUACUUCGAUCAGCCACCACCAAGAUAGCCUCCUCCUUGUACCACCUAUUAACUCUCCAUGGCAAAGCCCUCGCAUCAGAAAAGGCCACCACUACUCCGCCUCUCUUCAACCCUAUCACUGGCUCCCACGCCGGCAACACCACCCAUCUCCUCCAGUCUUUCUCAGCCUCCACUAUACCAAAAUCCCCUUUGCACCCAGUUUCCCAUGGUGCAUCCUUCACCCCUUUGUCUCUCUCACCCGCUCCACAAACCGGCAAAACUGCAACCACCGUAGCCUCUGCAAUCUCCCCCAGAUUUAACCUCACUACAGGAACUUUCACUCCAUCAACAACGCCUCCAUCUCUUCCCUGUCCUUCUCCAUCACCAUCGUUUCCAUCCAAUUCCUUUGUCACCCACGCUUUUGCUGGCUCAGACACAGCCACAGACAAAGCCUUUUGCAAUACAGAUAUUUUCGACUCUGUAUCCCGAUUUUCAAGAGCUUGUCUGUAGUACAUAAAGGCCAAACAAUCAGCCGGAAUCGUGUAAUCAAAAUAAUCCCAUCCACGAUCACCGCGUCGACGGGGGAAAUCCUUGAUUGCCCUAGCAAGUUCCUGAGCAUCACUUGGUUCAAAUUUAUUUUCAAGCAUGUAUCUCGCAGCUGCGGCACGCUGGUUCACACUCAACAACCUUAUCUCAUACAGCAACUCCGCACCACCCUUAUCGUAAAACUCGAGGGUUUCCUCAUCAACACCUGACUGAACCAAGGACUCCCUAACCUGAGCAGCUACAACGAGUCGAUUCUGCUCAACACCACUGAUGCCGGUAACUUCUUCGAGGGUGGAUGGGGCAAAUCCUUCCAGAAUCAAUGGAGGAAUGAGAGGGGCGUAUUCGAACCACAGGCCAAGGCGAUUUGAAAGAACAUCGAGGCGAGCUUCUGUGUCGAGGUUACGAUAUUGGGGUGGUAUUGGAGAUUGCGAUGUCGGAGGGCGAAAGGGUUGGUAGAGUUUUUGAGACGGUGGCUUAGAGGCGGGGAUAAGUGUGGCUGAGAUGGGUUUUCGGAAGGGUUUAUUGGGUCUGUGGUGGGAAGUGAGAGGAAGCGGUGAGGAAAGGAAGGGUGAAUGGAGGAAAGUGGGGGUAGGUUUGGGAGAAUUCAGAGCUAAAGAGAGCAUGGUUGAAGGUUGAAGAAAUGGAGGGAAUUGGGGAAACCUUAUCCUGUGUGAUAGUUACGAAGAAGGUGAUCAAGAUUCAAGAGGAGUAGGGAGUAGGAUGAAGGGAUUUCACAAAUAAUUUUGAAUCGAUGCUUUCUUCAUUUAUAUUCUCCCCCCUUCAACUUGUAUUCCAACAAUAUUUAUGCCCCCAACUUCCAUUACUAGGACUAAGGCUCUAUCUUUUAAUUGAAAAAUUUAAGAGGUAACCUUUUAAAAUUUAGAUAUGGCUUAUUUGUUUGCCUCUUAUAAAUUACAACUGAAUUGCAUAAUAACCUCUUAAAAAAUCAAACUUCAUAUCACAUCUAAAAAAUAAAAAAGACGGAAGUGCCCUACCUUAAAAACCACUCUUCUUUUCUUCUCAACACGCCUCCAUUAUGUUCUUUCUCAUCGAAACACACACACAAAAACAUUUCCUGCCAUCGACAAUCUGCUGAAGCUCGUCACUGCCAUCGUCGUCGCCGAUGUUUUCUCUACCUCCGGCGACUGCUGCGCCUCCGACAGCUUUGCCUCCCACGACUUCUGCAGACAGUUUCUUCGCCAAUAUGUUGUUUUUUCGCUUACUAUGUGUGGUUUUUCUUGAUAAAUCUAAUGAAAUUGGUCUUCCCUCUUUCUAUGUGCGAUUUUUCGUCUCUUGUUAUGUGCGGGUUUUCUUGAUAAAUCUGAUGAAAUUGGUCUUCCCUCUUGGUAUAUGUUGUUUUCUGCAAAUGUUGAUAUGGGUUGAAUUCUAAAAUAUAAGUUGAUGAUCUUGUUGUUUUUGUUGAAUUUUGAAAUGUAUGUGUGUGUAUAGUUGAAAUAUGUUGUUGAAAUUUGUUGAGUUUGUGUUUAUUUGUUGAACAAUAUUGUUGAAAAUGUCUUCUUUGCUGAAAUUUAGUUCAUUUGAUGAAUUCAUUUGUUAUGGACUGUUUGUUCAUUUUGGUCUUUUUUUUUGAAAAAUUUUGGGUUAUGAUUAGCGAUUAGUGGAUAAGAUGAUGGUUUAAGAUCAUGUAUCCAAUUUGACGGGUUUCAUCACAUGUUUUUAAGGUGUGGUUUCACUGGUUAUAGAAAUGGGAGAAAGGAAGAGAAAACAUAUUUUCCCAAAAUGACCUUUGGUUAAAAGGAAGAAAGAUCGACUAGAGAAAGUUGGAAUGGAGUAAGGGAAUUGGUGAAAGAAGAAGAAAGCCCAUACAAUGUUAGAGUUGAAGGAGAUAAUGAGAAUGAAUUGGCGUUGAAAUGAAAUAGAAUUCCAC